GGUGGUCAAACUUUCUUCAGUUCACAAUACAAUCCUUAGCCGUUCAAGCUUAUGGACUCUAAAGACUGUAGUGUCGAGCUAUCACUUGAUGGUGAAGUUUUCAACCCCAAUGGAGUAGGGCAAGUCAGAGUUAAUCAAGCCAUGGCUCGACAGUAUUUUGUUGUCAAACUUCAAGCAGAAAGCCAGCCAUCCCAAGCAGAGGUCCAACCUAAACUUUCUAUUGAGUUAGAUG
rnacentral:lncRNA from 1 species